rnacentral:rRNA from 1 species
UGAGGAAUAUUGGACAAUGGGUGAGAGCCUGAUCCAGCCAUCCCGCGUGAAGGACGACGGCCCUAUGGGUUGUAAACUUCUUUUGUACAGGGAUAAACCUAUUUACGUGUAAAUAGCUGAAGGCC